rnacentral:lncRNA from 1 species
CCCCCUGGGCAGUUCUAGGCAAAUUGAAAUAAUGCAAUUGGUUCCUAUAAAGUGGAGGAAGGGACAGAAUGUAACGUGGAAAAAAGACUACAAAAAGUCCUGAACUUCUUGUCCAAGGUACUCCAGACUUUGACUUCACUUCAAGCUGGGACUUUGGCUCUUGUACUGCUUCUUGGAGGACUACUCCUGGAUCUUCUCCUUUGGACUUCAGUGUUGGAGGAUUUUGCCUUGGGUGGACUAUCUUCUUCUGUUCUUAAUGGAAAACAUCACCUAAGUAACAGCAAUAAUAUCUAAUGAUAAACUGCAAAUGACAACUAUUGUCAGCAAUAAAAGAAUCUAGAACAACUCCGAGGGACUCA